UGACCUCUGACCUCAAAUCAGGUAG
rnacentral:rRNA from 2 species